rnacentral:rRNA from 1 species
UACGGAGGGGACUAGCGUUGCUCGGAAUUACUGGGCGUAAAGAGUGCGUAGGCGGUCUAAAUAGUUGGAAGUGAAAUCCCUGGGCUCAACCCAGGAACUGCUUUCAAAACUUUUAGACUAGAGAUUGAUAGGGGAUGAUGGAAUUCCUAGUGUAGAGGUGAAAUUCUUAGAUAUUAGGAGGAACACCAGUGGCGAAGGCGGUCAUCUGGGUCACAUCUGACGCUGAUGCACGAAAGCGUGGGGAGCAAACAGG